GUUGAUGUGGCAGAUUAUAUGCGAAGAGUUUAAGUCUCUUUAAAGUUUUACCUUCAAUA
rnacentral:tRNA from 1 species